CAUGGUUCAAUCAUAAAAGGUGGCUUUYAGCUACCACUURCAGAUGGACCCGCGGCGCAUUAGCUAGUUGGUGAGGUAACGGCUCACCAAGGCGACGAUGCGUAGCCGACCUGAGAGGGUGAUCGGCCACACUGGGACUGAGACACGGCCCAGACUCCUACGGGAGGCAGCAGUAGGGAAUCUUCCGCAAUGGACGAAAGUCUGACGGAGCAACGCCGCGUGAGUGAUGAAGGUUUUCGGAUCGUAAAACUCU
rnacentral:rRNA from 1 species